rnacentral:misc_RNA from 1 species
CCAAACUUGGUCAUUUAGAGGAAGUAAAAGUUGUAACAAGGUUUCCAUAGGUGAACCUGUGGAAGGAUCAUUACUGAAGCAAAUAGGCUUUGGAUUGACCUGCCUAUUCAUAGGAUGUGCGACGGCUUCUCAGUUAGAGACUCCUUGAUGGCUCGUCUAGCUUGGACCAUUCCAUGCUUGCUUGCUGUUGGGCUGAUCUCUGGUAGCUGUUGGUCAGAUUCUACGUUCUACAUAUACCACUUAAAGUCUAUGAAUGUUUGAUCAUCAGUCUUUACAGACUCGAUAUAACCCUAUACAACUUUCAGCAACGGAUCUCUUGGCUCUUGCAUCGAUGAAGAACGCAGC